AAUCUUCCACAAUGGACGAAAGUCUGAUGCAGCGACGCCGCGUGAACGAUGAAGGCCUUCGGGUCGUAAAGUUCUGUCCUUGGGGACGAUAAUGACGGUACCCAAGGAGGAAGCCCCGGCUAACUACGUGCCAGCAGCCGCGGUAAUACGUAGGGGGCGAGCGUGGUCCGGAAUUACUGGGCGUAAAGGGGUCGUAGGCGGCCCUUUAAGUCAGAUGUGAAAGCCCGCGGCUUAACCGCGGAACUGCAUUUGAAACUGGAGGGCUUGAGUGUCGGAGAGGGUAGUGGAAUUCCCAGUGUAGCGGUGAAAUGCGUAGAUAUUGGGAGGAACACCAGUGGCGAAGGCGACUACCUGGACGAUAACUGACGCUGAGGCACGAAAGCUAGGGGAGCAAACA
rnacentral:rRNA from 1 species